rnacentral:misc_RNA from 1 species
GAAAUGCGAUAAGUAAUGUGAAUUGCAGAAUUCCGUGAAUCAUCGAAUCUUUGAACGCACAUUGCGCCCUCUGGCAUUCCGGGGGGGCAUGCCUGUCCGAGCGUCAUUACGCACCCUCAAGCCCGGCUUGUGUGAUGGGCCCUGGCGUCUCGUUCGCGAGACGGGCCCGAAAGGCAGCGGCGGCGUCGACCCGAUGAGCCUGAGCGUAUGGGGACUUUUGUCACACGUUUGCGGUGCGGACCGGCGCCUGCUUGACUUUUCUGAUUAUCCAGGUUGACCUCGGAUCAGGUAGGGAUACCCGCUGAACUUAAGC